GUUUUAAUAAGUAAAAGAGUACUCAUUCUUGUCAUUUUAAAUUUAAAAUUGUAUUAAUUAACUUGGUGAACCAAACAAAAAAUUUUCAUCAUCCAAACAUUUUUGCAAAUCAAUAAGAAUGCUAUCUAAUCCUACAGAUAUUCCACUCUUCAUUUUCUUUACAGCAAUCCAAGAAUCAGUUUUAUUUGAUUGUUAAAUGAUAGAGCAACUAAAAUUAUCUUUAGAGCUAAAUGUUAAAAUAAGGAAUCCUCCUCAAUUUAUAGAAAGUCUAAUUAACUUGUAUAAUUAAAUAAAAAUGGUUCUUACACCGAGAGACAGAAUGAUUCUAAUUCACUCUAAAUACAAAUCACAUGAUUAAAUAGACAUUCUUUAGUGCGCUGAUUGCAGAAGGUAGCAUAAGCUGUCAGACCAGAUGGUUAAAUGAAAAUAAACUAAAAUUCUAAUAACCCAAUAAGAUUGUACGUAUCGCAGAACAAAGGAUGGAAGAGAAAAUAAGAUUUAGAAUGAAUCUCAGAAUGACUUCGAUUUUCCCAUCACUUUGCUAUGUGCAAUCAGUAUUCAAUGAUGCAAAAGUAAUAACAAAAUAUUAACAGCAAUUCUACUGUCUACAAAAAUGUUACCUAUCGAGAUGUGAUGUUGGACCAGUGGCAGCCCUAAAUAGAUAGCGUUUUAUAAAAGACUUCCAUGCAAAAGGAAAAGAUCCGCCCUAAGAAAGUUACUGAAUAAAUGAAUUAUUACUUUACAUCAGUGAUGUAAGGGCAUAAUGAAGAGCCUAUACAGAUACAUACCCAACCAAAACUUCUGGAAAGAUCAUUUCCUGUACCAAGUGGAAUAAUUCCAAUAGGAGGAAUUGGUUGUCUACACUGUCCAUGCAACUCACCAAGGCUUCCCAGUACCCAACCUACCGUACCAUCACCGCCAGCAACCUGGAAAGUAAAAAAUGUAUCAGCUGUUUCAAAAUUAGCAGUUAUGAAGGAAAACAUGUAAUGCUAAAUAUUAGCAGUUAUGAAGGAAUACAAGCACUAACUUCUUAACUGAUGAUCAAAACAAAAGAAGGUUUAAAUGCCACUUUCAUUCAGCAUGAACCCGGAUUCUAAGGUAGCCGAUCAAGCGCUCUCGCGCCAAAGAUGAAUGGGGGCUAAGCGAUAUGCCAAAGCUGUGAGAUUUUUUUAAGUUUUAUAUUUUAAACGUAAUAUAAAAAUUAUCGGUAGGAGAGUGUUCCGCCUUAUAGAGAAAUAUCUCGCUUAAGCAGGUGGUAGACGAAGCGGAAGUGAGAAUAUCAGCUUGAGUAACGCAAACAUUGGUGAGAAUCUAAUGCCCUGAAAACCUAAAUGUUCCUCCAUAAAGGUCGUCUAGGGAGGGUUAGUCAGGGCCUAAGAUCAUGUCAAAAGGCGCAAUUGAUGGCUAACAAGUAAAUAUUCCUAUAUUAUCCUUUUUGUUAUUGAGGGAUAGAGGAGGCUAGGUUAUCCAAAAAAUAUGGUUAUUGGUUUAAAGGGUAAGGAUAAAUUCAUUAAAUAUGGGUCAUAAGGGGUAGAGUAAAUAUCUCGAGCUAAUACUUGAAUAAUAAGUACUUUUAUUCUUAAGUCUUAAGUAACUAAUGUCAUACUCCCAGAAAAAGCUCUUAAUAUCUUAAAAAAUAAAGAAACCUGUACCCAAAACCAACACAUGUAGGUAGGUUGAGAAUACCUAGGGGCGCGAGACAACUCUCUCUAAGGAACUCGUCAAAAUAGCCCCGUAACUUCGGGAUAAGGAGUGCCUCUUAAAUAAAAGAGGUCGCAGCGGCCGGGCCUGGGCCACUGUUUACCAAAACCAUAGGUCUCCGCAAAGUCGUAAAGACCAUGUAUGGGGGCUGACGCCUGCCCAGUGCCGGAAGGUUAAAGAAGUUAGGGGUCUUGAUUUACAAUAGGGUAGCUGGCAACCUAAGCCCCGGUGAAUGACGGUCAUAACUAUAACAGUCCUAAGGUAGCGAAAUUCCUUGUCGAGUAAGUUCCGACCCGCACGAAUGGCGUAACGAUCUGGGCGCUGUCUCGGAGAGGGACUCGGUGAAAUAGACCUGACUGUGAAGAUGCGGACUACCUGUACCUGGACAGAUUGACUCUAUGAAGCUUUACUGUUCCUUAGGAUUUGUUUUAAGCUUUUCUUGCGCAGAUUAGGUGGAAGACGACAAAAAUACUUCUUAUGGGAAGGAUCGAGCCAUUAUUGAGAUACUACUCUGGAAGAGCUAGAUUCCUAACUUUGUGUCAUAAAUUAUGGCCAUGGGACAUUCUCAGGUAGACGGUUUAUAUCGAGCGCAGGCCUCCUAAAAAGUAACGGAGGCGCGCAAAGGUUUCUUUGAGCCAAAUAGAAAUUGACUUUAUACGUGUAAGGGCAUAAAGAAGCUUGACUGCAAGACACACUUGUCAAGCAGGGACAAAAGUCGGCCUUAGUGAUCCGACGGUGCCGAGGGGUAGGGCUGUCGCUCAACGGAUAAAAGUUACUCAAGAGAUAACAGGCUGAUAUUCCCCAAGAGUUCAUAUCGACGGGAAGGUUUGGCACCUCGAUGUCGGCUCGUCGCCACCUGGGGGGCUGUAGUAGGUUCCAAGGGUUGGGUUGUUCUCCCAUUAAAGCGGUAUGUGAACUGGGUUCAAAACAUCGUGAGGCAGUGCGGUCCAUAUCCGGUAUAGGUGUUAUAGCAUUGAGAGGACUUGUCCCUAGUACGAGAGGAUCGGGAAGCACGCACCUCUGGUAUACCAGUUAUUGUGCCAUCGGUAAACACUGGGUAGUAAAGUGCGGAUUGCCCGCGCACGAGCGUAGCUCCCGUCAGCUUCUAAAACCGCCAAAAUUAAUUCGGUGGUUUCCAAAGCGUCCUAUUUAGGGCCAUCGAGCGCCCUCAACACAUCAUAGAAGCCUUUACCUCCUCGUCAAAUUCUCGACGCACAACCCCUCGCUGAAAUACUAACCUUAGAGUCUAUCAA
rnacentral:rRNA from 1 species